AAACUAGGCGCAAAGAAAAUAACGGUUUACUCUCAGUUUGCACUUUGCAGCACAAGCAAAAUAUCACAAAACAUGUAUGCACUUGUGAAUUUUUUUGAAGGCACAUCAGAAAUUGUUCCAGUGGAAAAUAUUGAAGAGUUUGAUGGGACGUGCGACAAUGUGAAAUAAUGUAUUGUUAAUUUGCAGCGCACUGGGAAGAGAUAUCCCGCCUAUAUCAUGGCUCUGGAUGAGUGUAUCACAGAAAAAGAAUUGGGCCGAGUCUGGAAAAAAACAUCAGGCAGACAUAAUGACCAGUGUAUCACCUCAAACCUCAAAACAGGAAAUGCAAUUGCAGCUAACCACUGCAAACUUUCAGAUAAGGGAGCUCAAAAGACAAAAUGCAGCACUCAGACAAUCUCUCUCUGUGAUUGAAGACAUGGCUGGUGGUUUGAGACCCAUCCCCAGAUCUCACAAUGACAUCAUGGCUGGUGGAUCCACACCCUUCCUCCAACCCCCAAAAGCAGCACUCCAAGACAUAGCCGUCACAACCCUCCCAGACAGCAUGGUAGAAGUAGACUUCAAACCUUGAGCUGGAAAGCGGGGAUGCAAACUAGUCACAAUUUGAAUACAAAAGCAGAGUUAUUUACUGGUGGAACUGGCAGAAGGUGUUAAACUCCAUGCGAACAUUAUCACUCGACUGAGCAAAGAACCAUCAAAGUGCAUUUCUGAGCUCAUGACAGCUCUGUUUCCCAGAGAGGUGAUCGUCGUCUCUUUGUUGACAGGAAAAAGAAUUGAAUGCAUUCUGGGACCAGCAGGCAAAGAAACCGCUGUGCCCAACCAAAGUGUCUGCAAUUUGCACGUUUUUAAUUAUGUGAAACCAGAUGGAGGAGAAGGAUGUCUUAAAAAUAAUUAUAUCGAAGCUUAACAAUGAGUCGAAAUUGCUUAAGAAGUCCAAGAUUUAGGUUUAAAACUGCUUCUUUUUUUUUACUCAAAGGGAGUAACUUGGAGGCUAAGGCCUAACUUUUUGAUUUGUUAACUCAGUGAAAAAGUAUUAAAAUUGAUAAUUUUUUCAAUAUGAU